rnacentral:misc_RNA from 1 species
UCCCCCGUGAGGGGGCAGUCUCGCCUGACAUAAGUAACAGACAACGGGGGUUGCGUUCGUUACCCCACUGAAGGGAACAGCUCAAGCCACGAACUGACGACAACCAUGCAUCACCUGCCAAGCACCCUCGAAGGCUCUCAACCUUUCGGAAGAGAUGCAGCUUGGUUUCUAGCCCUGGUAAGGUUCUUCGCUUAACGACGAAUUAAGCCACAUGAUCCACCGCUUGUGCGAGUCCCCGUCUAUUCCUUUGAGUUUUAAUCUUGCGAUCGUACUACCCAGGCGGCUCGCUUACCGCGUUAGCUUAGUCCCACAGAGGGUCGAUACUCCGUAGAACGAGCGAGCAGCGUUUAGGGCCAGGACUAC